CGCUGGCGGCAGGCCUAACACAUGCAAGUCGAGCGGUAGCACAGAGAGCUUGCUCUCGGGUGACGAGCGGCGGACGGGUGAGUAAUGUCUGGGAAACUGCCUGAUGGAGGGGGAUAACUACUGGAAACGGUAGCUAAUACCGCAUAANGUCGCAAGACCAAAGUGGGGGACCUUCGGGCCUCAUGCCAUCAGAUGUGCCCAGAUGGGAUUAGCUAGUAGGUGGGGUAACGGCUCACCUAGGCGACGAUCCCUAGCUGGUCUGAGAGGAUGACCAGCCACACUGGAACUGAGACACGGUCCAGACUCCUACGGGAGGCAGCAGUGGGGAAUAUUGCACAAUGGGCGCAAGCCUGAUGCAGCCAUGCCGCGUGUGUGAAGAAGGCCUUCGGGUUGUAAAGCACUUUCAGCGGGGAGGAAGGCG
rnacentral:rRNA from 1 species